rnacentral:rRNA from 1 species
ACUCCUACGGGAGGCAGCAGUGGGGAAUAUUGGACAAUGGGCGCAAGCCUGAUCCAGCAAUGCCGCGUGUGAAGAAGGCCUUCGGGUUGUAAAGCACUUUUAUCAGGAACGAAAUACUAUCGGCUAAUACCCGGUGGGGCUGACGGUACCUGAGGAAUAAGCACCGGCUAACUUCGUGCCAGCAGCCGCGGUAAU